CCUACGGGUGGCAGCAGUGGGGAAUAUUGCACAAUGGGGGAAACCCUGAUGCAGCGACGCCGCGUGAGUGAAGAAGUAUCUCGGGAUGUAAAGCUCUAUCAGCAGGGAAGAAAAUGACGGUACUUGACUAAGAAGCCCUGGCUAACUACGUGCCAGCAGCCGCGGUAAUACGUAGGGGGCAAGCGUUAUCCGGAUUUACUGGGUGUAAAGGGAGCGUAGACGGGGUGGCAAGUCCGGAGUGAAAGUCCAUGGCUUAAGCCUGGUACUGCGCUGGACACUGUGGAGCUUGAGUGCGGGAGGGGCAGGCGGAAUUCCUGGUGUAGCGGUGAAAUGCGGAGAUAUUAGGAAGAACACCGGCGGCGAAGGCAGCCUGCUGGACCGUAACUGACGUGGAGGCUCGAAAGCGUGGGGAGCAAACAGGAUUAGAUACCCUGGUAGUC
rnacentral:rRNA from 1 species